rnacentral:rRNA from 1 species
UACGUAGGGGGCAAGCGUUGUCCGGAAUCAUUGGGCGUAAAGCGCGUGUAGGCGGCUCGGUAAGUCCGCUGUGAAAGUCGGGGGCUCAACCCUCGGAUGCCGGUGGAUACUGUCGGGCUAGAGUACGGAAGAGGCGAGUGGAAUUCCUGGUGUAGCGGUGAAAUGCGCAGAUAUCAGGAGGAACACCAAUUGCGAAGGCAGCUCGCUGGGACGUUACUGACGCUGAGACGCGAAAGCGUGGGGAGCAAACAGG